rnacentral:rRNA from 1 species
UGCCAGCCGCCGCGGUAAUACGGAGGGUGCAAGCGUUGUUCGGAAUUACUGGGCUUAAAGAGCUCGUAGGUGGUUGAAAAAGUUGGUGGUGAAAUCCCAGAGCUUAACUCUGGAACUGCCAUCAAAACUUUUCAGCUAGAGUUUGAUAGAGGAAAGUAGAAUUUCUAGUGUAGAGGUGAAAUUCGUAGAUAUUAGAAAGAAUACCAAUUGCGAAGGCAGCUUUCUGGAUCAUUACUGACACUGAGGAACGAAAGCAUGGGUAGCGAAGAGGAUUAGAUA